GGACUACCGGGGUAUCUAAUCCUGUUUGCUCCCCAUGCUUUCGCACCUCAGUGUCAGUCUGGACCCAGGCAGCCGCCUUCGCCACUGGUGUUCUUUCCGAUCUCUACGCAUUUCACCGCUACACCGGAAAUUCCACUGCCCUCUGUCCGACUCUAGCUUCUCAGUUUCCAACGCUGUUCCCAGGUUAAGCCCGGGGCUUUCACAUCAGACUUAAGAAGCCACCUACAUGCGCUUUACGCCCAAUAAUUCCGAUUAACGCUUGCACCCUCUGUAUUACCGCGGCUGCUGGCAC
rnacentral:rRNA from 2 species